rnacentral:rRNA from 1 species
AGGACGAACGCUGGCGGCGUGCCUAAUACAUGCAAGUCGAACGGUCUUUCUAUGGAAGCUUGCUUCCACUGAGAAGAUAGUGGCGAACGGGUGAGUAACACGUGGGUAACCUGCCCAUAAGAGGGGGGAUAACAUCCGGAAACGGGUGCUAAUACCGCAUAGUUUUCUUGAUCGCAUGAUCGGGAAAGGAAAGACGGCCUUUGUGCUGUCGCUUAUGGAUGGACCCGCGGCGUAUUAGUUAGUUGGUGAGGUAACGGCUCACCAAGACGAUGAUACGUAGCCGACCUGAGAGGGUGAUCGGCCACAUUGGGACUGAGACACGGCCCAAACUCCUACGGGAGGCAGCAGUAGGGAAUCUUCCGCAAUGGACGAAAGUCUGACGGAGCAACGCCGCGUGAGUGAAGAAAGGUUUUCGGAUCGUAAAACUCUGUUGUCAGAGAAGAAUAAGUUGGAGAGUAACUGCUCCAGCCUUGACGGUAUCUGACCAGAAAGCCACGGCUAACUACGUGCCAGCCGCCGC